rnacentral:rRNA from 1 species
AUGGCAUACAAUGGUACAACUGGACUGUUUGUAUUAGAUCUAGUCCAGGAGAGAACAAUAGGAGUAGGGCAGUUUGAAUCCAGCGGAGUUUUAAAUGUUGAUCUAUCACAAUAUCUGUCAGACGACGUAUAUCUGGUGUUUGCAGGUUCCACGGGCGAUUUCACCCAACUGAACCAGAUAAAGUCCUGGAACUUCACCACAAUAGAAAAUGAUGCCACAGUUGGAAUAAGAGUUGGAAUAAAGGUGUUUUUGGCUAUUGCUGCUUUAGUUAUAUUUUCUACCUGUUUGGUUGGUGUGUUCUUCAUGUGGAGAAGGCUGAUACGUCAGAGAAGGCUCGCCAACCGCAACCUGGAGAAGAUGAUCGACGCACAUGGUCCGGUCAAAUUUAAGCUCAGGGAGCUCAGGCAUGCGACUGCCAACUUCAGUCCUACACGUAAGCUCGGCAGAGGCGGAUCUGGCACCGUUUACCUCGGCCAUAUCAAUAGGAUGAACUUGGAGGUGGCCGUGAAGCGGGUGUCAACGGGCAACGCCGAUUCCAACCGAGUAGAGCAGGAGUUCGUCGCGGAGGUGAACACGAUCAGUAAGCUGUCGCACCGCAACCUCGUCAAGUUGAUCGGCUGGUGCCACGAGGGAUCCGAGCUGCUCCUGGUGUACGAGUACUUUCCCAUGGGCAGCAUGGACAAGCUCUUGUACGCCAGUGCCAGAGAGAGCAACUCGUCGUCGGAGAUUAGCGCUGUUGAGCUAACAUGGGAUCGGCGGUACAAGAUCGUCUGUGGAGUGGCAUCGGCGCUGGACUACCUGCACCACGGGAGCAGCAGAGGGUCCUGCACAGGGACAUCAAGCCCAGCAAUGUGA